GUGCUCGCUUCGGUAGGACAUAUACUAAAAUUGGAACAAUACAGAGAUUAGCAUGGCCCCUGCACAAGGAUGACACACAAAUUCGUGAAGUGUUCCAUAUUUUU
ensembl:snRNA U6 U6 spliceosomal RNA